rnacentral:rRNA from 1 species
UACGGGGGGAGCAAGCGUUGUUCGGAUUUACUGGGCGUAAAGGGCGCGUAGGCGGCCACAACAAGUCACUUGUGAAAUCUCCGGGCUUAACCCGGUAGCGGCCAAGUGAUACUGUUGGGCUAGAGUGCGGAAGGGGCAACUGGAAUUCUCGGUGUAGCGGUGAAAUGCGUAGAUAUCGAGAGGAACACCUGCGGCGAAGGCGGGUUGCUGGGCCGACACUGACGCUGAAGUGCGAAAGCUAGGGGAGCGAACGGG